GUGGAUUAGAUACCCUGGUAGUCCACGCCCUAAACUAUGUCAACUGGUUGUCGGGGAAGCAAUUCCUUGGUAACGAAGCUAACGCGUGAAGUUGACCGCCUGGGGAGUACGGCCGCAAGGUUAAAACUCAAAGGAAUUGACGGGGACCCGCACAAGCGGUGGAUUAUGUGGAUUAAUUCGAUGCAACGCGAAAAACCUUACCUACCCUUGACAUGCCAGGAACCUCGCAGAGAUGUGAGGGUGCCCGAAAGGGAACCUGGACACAGGUGCUGCACGGUUGUCGUCAACU
rnacentral:rRNA from 1 species